AAAAUGACUCUCGGCAAUGGAUAUCUUAACUCUCGCGUAGAUGAAGAACGUAGCGAAAUGCGAUACUUGGUGUGAAUUGCAAAAUCUCGUGAACCAUUGAGUCUUUGAACGUAAGUUGCACCCGAAGCCAUUAGGUCGAGGGCAUCCCUGCCUGGGCUUCACA
rnacentral:rRNA from 1 species